ACUUGAUUUAAUAUAGAAUUUAUGAAUCAUUAAACCAAUAACACAUGAUUUUAAUACAUAUUUGAAAAUCAUAGAACCAAUAACACAUGAUUUUAAUACAGAUUUAAAAAUCAUAAAAACAAUAACACUAGAUUUAGUUCGGAUUUUCAAAUCUAUUAAAAUACGACAACCAAUAACCCCUACUCCAUUUUCAUCCUCUAUCUCACUGAUUUCUCUUUUCCGUCUCUCUCCCCUGUCGAACUCAUGAAGUUUGUGGCUUUUGUUUAGGGGUUUCGCUAAGCUUAACAGAGCAAACUUUACUAAGUCGAGGCAAGAGAAGCGUGUUGCUCCUACGUCCAUCUUCUCCGACUCCCUCUUUCUCUCUCCCACGGCUCCAUGUCUCUCCAUCUCCAUACUGGCUAUGUCAAUGGUAGAAGAAUUGAACGAGUGAAGAAGAAGCAGAGGAGGUAUGCGACUGGCGUAAGCGAAUAGAGGUUGUGGAGGCUGGAGUAAGAGAACCAAGGCCUGAGGCGGAUGCCCCGGAGGCUGUAGGCGCUGCAUGCGGAGGCUGGAGGCGGAGGCUCUGGUAGCGGCGGCUUAGGUUUAGGUUAAGCUUAAUUAUGUUUUGGUUAGUUAAUUAGUUUUAAACCCGGUUUGUAUGUAAACUGGUUUAAUUUAUAAACUGAAAACAUUUGUAAUCUGGUUUAAUUUGUAAACCGAAAUCAGGUGUAAACCGAAUUUUUAAUAUCAA